GACGAACGCUGGCGGCGUGCUUAACACAUGCCAGUCGAACGAAGAGCGAUGGAAGCUUGCUUCUAUCAAUCUUAGUGGCGAACGGGUGAGUAACGCGUAAUCAACCUGCCCUUCAGAGGGGGACAACAGUUGGAAACGACUGCUAAUACCGCAUACGAUCUAAUCUCGGCAUCGAGGAUAGAUGAAAGGUGGCCUCUACAUGUAAGCUAUCACUGAAGGAGGGGAUUGCGUCUGAUUAGCUAGUUGGAGGGGUAACGGCCCACCAAGGCGAUGAUCAGUAGCCGGUCUGAGAGGAUGAACGGCCACAUUGGGACUGAGACACGGCCCAGACUCCUACGGGAGGCAGCAGUGGGGAAUCUUCCGCAAUGGACGAAAGUCUGACGGAGCAACGCCGCGUGAGUGAUGACGGCCUUCGGGUUGUAAAGCUCUGUUAAUCGGGACGAAAGGCCUUCUUGCGAAUAGUGAGAAGGAUUGACGGUACCGGAAUAGAAAGCCACGGCUAACUACGU
rnacentral:rRNA from 1 species